UACGGAGGGUGCGAGNGUUAAUCGGAAUUACUGGGCGUAAAGCGCACGCAGGCGGUUUGUUAAGCUAGAUGUGAAAGCCCCGGGCUCAACCUGGGAUGGUCAUUUAGAACUGGCAGACUAGAGUCUUGGAGAGGGGAGUGGAAUUCCAGGUGUAGCGGUGAAAUGCGNAGAUAUCUGGAGGAACAUCAGUGGCGAAGGCGACUCCCUGGCCAAAGACUGACGCUCAUGUGCGAAAGUGUGGGUAGCGAACAUU
rnacentral:rRNA from 1 species